rnacentral:rRNA from 1 species
GACGAACGCUGGCGGCGUGCUUAACACAUGCAAGUCGAGCGGAAAGGCCCCUUCGGGGGUACUCGAGCGGCGAACGGGUGAGUAACACGUGAGUAAUCUGCCCUUGGCUUCGGGAUAACCACCGGAAACGGUGGCUAAUACCGGAUACGACCAGCCCCAGCAUCGGGUGUUGGUGGAAAGUUUUUUCGGCCAGGGAUGUGCUCGCGGCCUAUCAGCUUGUUGGUGGGGUAAUGGCCUACCAAGGCUUCGACGGGUAGCCGGCCUGAGAGGGUGACCGGCCACACGGGGACUGAGACACGGCCCAGACUCCUACGGGAGGCAGCAGUGGGGAAUAUUGGACAAUGGGCGAAAGCCUGAUCCAGCAACGCCGCGUGAGGGGUGACGGCCUUCGGGUUGUAAACCUCUUUCAGUACCGACGAAGCGCCGAUGAUGGUGGUGACGGUAGGUACAGAAGAAGCACCGGCCAACUACGUGCCAGCAGCCGCAGUAAUAC